AUUGAACGCUGGCGGCAGGCCUAACACAUGCAAGUCGAACGAGUGGCGGACGGGUGAGUAAUGUCUGGGAAACUGCCUGAUGGAGGGGGAUAACUACUGGAAACGGUAGCUAAUACCGCAUACCAUCAGCUGUGCCCAGAUGGGAUGAGCUUGUUGGUGGGGGAACGACUAACCAAGGCGACCAUCCCUAGCUGGUCUGCGAGGAUGACCAGCCACACUGGACAUGAGACACGGUCGAGACGCAUACGGUAGGCAGCAGUGGGGAAUAUUGAGCAAUGGGCGCAAGCCUGAUGCAGAAAUGCGGCGUGUAGGAAGAAGGCCUUCGGGUUGUAAAGUACUUUUAGCGGGGAGGCGUUACCCGCAGAAGAAGCACCGGCUAACUCCGUGCCAGCAGCCGCGGUAAGUC
rnacentral:rRNA from 1 species